GAUGAACGCUGGCGGCGUGCCUAAUACAUGCCAGUCGAGCGAACGGACGAGAAGCUUGCUUCUCUGAUGUUAGCGGUGGACGGGUGAGUAACACGUGGAUAACCUACCUAUAAGACUGGGAUAACUUCGGGAAACCGGAGCUAAUACCGGUUAAUAUUUUGAACCGCAUGGUUCAAAAGUGAAAGACGGUCUUGCUGUCACUUAUAGAUGGAUCCGCGCUGCAUUAGCUAGUUGGUAAGGUAACGGCUUACCAAGGCAACGAUGCAUAGCCGACCUGAGAGGGGGAUCGGCCACACUGGAACUGAGACACGGUCCAGACUCCUACGGGAGGCAGCAGUAGGGAAUCUUCCGCAAUGGGCGAAAGCCUGACGGAGCAACGCCGCGUGAGUGAUGAAGGUCUUCGGAUCGUAAAACUCUGUUAUUAGGGAAGAACAUAUGUGUAAGUAACUGUGCACAUCUUGACGGUACCUAAUCAGAAAGCCACGGCUAACUACGUG
rnacentral:rRNA from 1 species